UACGUAGGGUGCAAGCGUUGUCCGGAAUUAUUGGGCGUAAAGAGUUCGUAGGCGGUUUGUCGCGUCCGUUGUGAAAGCUUGGGGCUCAACCCCAAGUCUGCAGUGGAUACGGGCAGACUAGAGUCAGGUAGGGGAGAACGGAAUUCCUGGUGUAGCGGUGAAAUGCGCAGAUAUCAGGAAGAACACCAAUGGCGAAAGCAGCUCUCUGGGACGGUACUGACGCUGAGACGCGAAAGCGUGGGGAGCGAACAGG
rnacentral:rRNA from 1 species